rnacentral:rRNA from 1 species
CUACGUGCCAGCAGCCGCGGUAAUACGGAGGGUGCGAGCGUUAAUCGGAAUAACUGGGCGUAAAGGGCACGCAGGCGGUUAUUUAAGUGAGGUGUGAAAGCCCCGGGCUUAACCUGGGAAUUGCAUUUCAGACUGGGUAACUAGAGUACUUUAGGGAGGGGUAGAAUUCCACGUGUAGCGGUGAAAUGCGUAGAGAUGUGGAGGAAUACCGAAGGCGAAGGCAGCCCCUUGGGAAUGUACUGACGCUCAUGUGCGAAAGCGUGGGGAGCAAACAGGAUUAGAUACCCUGGUAGUCCACGCUGUAAACGCUGUCGAUUUGGGGAUUGGGCUUUGAGCCUGGUGCCCGUAGCUAACGUGAUAAAUCGACCGCCUGGGGAGUACGGCCGCAAGGUUAAAACUCAAAUGAAUUGACGGGGGCCCGCACAAGCGGUGGAGCAUGUGGUUUAAUUCGAUGCAACGCGAAGAACCUUACCUACUCUUGACAUCCAGA